UAUCAAGGGGUGCCCGUCAGUUCGGCGGGCUGAGAACAGACCCUCUGGAACCUGAAACGGGUAAUGCCGACGUAGGAAUGAUAAACAUU
rnacentral:ncRNA from 1 species